rnacentral:lncRNA from 1 species
CUUCCCUUCUCUGCCCCGAGAGGGGUGACUGAAAACGGGCUCUCCCUUCUGUGGCCUCUGCUCUGCCCCAGGAGGACAGCCUGGAGGAAGAGGGAAUGGCUCCUGCCCCGAAAGCCAGGCCCGGGAAGGUGAGUGCCACUUGCUGCUUUCCUCAAAUAGCAUCUUAGGCCAGAGACCGUGGGAUAGGUGUCUUUGUCCUGUGCUGUAACACUAGGAAUCGUGGGCAUCAGAGAAUCAU